AUGUCCGACUCUUUUGCGACCCAAUGGACUGUAGCCUUCCAGGCUCCUCUGUCCAUGGAAUUCCCCAGGCAAUACUGGAGUGGGUUGCCAUGCCUUCCUCCAGGGAUCUUCCCAACCCAAGGAUCGAAUCCUUGUCUCAUGCACUGGCAGUCGGAUUCUUUACCACUGAGCUACCUUACUGUUAAAGAACACCAGACAUUUCAAGUUAAGGAAUUUAGCGCUUGUCUAUGCAUGGGAAAGUUGCAAAAGUCUGGGCUUGCUGACGUCAUUCCUUGGUAUACCCUCUGCUCUCUGGGCCAGAAUACCGUGUUUUCUCAUCCUGAGUCUCCUCAGGGUACCCCCUGGCGGUGGCUGCAGCGGCUGACUUCUAGCUGGGGAGUGGGUGCUUCCUGCCUCCAUCCUGAGUUCCCUCAGGGCUUAUGGUCUGUGUGGCUGGUAAUGUGGUGGCUUGAAGGUUGCAGCAUCCUUGUUUACCAAUAUGGCAGCAACAUCUGUCAUUCACAGACGCAGGGUUGCAAUAGGCAAGUCCUCCCCACCACCAAGCCCCCUUUCUUCUGCAGGGUCCAGUCUCAGACCCCGUGUCACCACAGUCCUGUCUUCGAGGGCAUAAAAGACAGGCUGCUUUGGACUUGUCAGUACCUGCCAGUGUCCAGGCAGAACAGCCACAGGAUGCCCGACUCUCUUGUGUUACCUACACCAGGAUUAGAUUUUCUUUUGUAUCUUGGCCCAAUUUAUUUAUUUCUUUUUAUGGUUUCCUGUGGCAUACGGGAUCACAGUUCCCCAACCAGGUAUCAAACCCACAACCCCUGCAGUGGAACACAAAGUCUUAACCACUGGACCACCAAGGAAUCUUCUGAGUCAGGGGAGUUAGCAUUUAUCAAGCGUGCUGGAGUAAAAAAAGAAAAAAGAGUUAUGGGGCUUUCAGAAACCUGCUGGGUUCAUGCCAUUUAUUUUGGGCCACUAGGAAGAAUGGUGCCCCCCUUUUUUCCCUCUACUGAGAUAUAA
rnacentral:lncRNA from 2 species